rnacentral:rRNA from 1 species
GGGAAUAUUGCACAAUGGGGGAAACCCUGAUGCAGCGACGCCGCGUGAGGGAAGACGGUUUUCGGAUUGUAAACCUCUGUCCUCUGUGAAGAUAAUGACGGUAGCAGAGGAGGAAGCUCCGGCUAACUACGUGCCAGCAGCCGCGGUAAUACGUAGGGAGCAAGCGUUGUCCGGAUUUACUGGGUGUAAAGGGUGCGUAGGCGGCUUUGCAAGUCAGAAGUGAAAUCCAAGGGCUUAACCCAUGAACUGCUUUUGAAACUGCAGAGCUUGAGUGGAGUAGAGGUAGGCGGAAUUCCAGGUGUAGCGGUGAAAUGCGUAGAGAUCGGGAGGAACACCAGUGGCGAAGGAGGCCUACUGGGCUCUAACUGACGCUGAGGCACGAAAGCGUGGGUAGCAAACAG